rnacentral:rRNA from 1 species
CUAAAAGACCAUCCCAGUUCGGAUUGCAGGCUGAAACCCGCCUGCAUGAAGUUGGAAUCGCUAGUAAUCGCGGAUCAGCAUGCCGCGGUGAAUACGUUCCCGGGCCUUGUACACACCGCCCGUCACACCAUGAGAGUCGGGAACACCCGAAGUCCGUAGUCUAACCGCAAGGGGACGCGGCCGAAGGUGGGUUCGAUAAUUGGGGUGAAGUCGUAACAAGGUAAC